GCCUUCGUGAUGUAGUGGUCAGAAUGCUCGACGCGUAACCGAGAGGUCCGUGGUUCAAUUCCCGGCGAAGGUG
rnacentral:tRNA from 1 species